CAGCUCAUUCCAUAUGUGCGUGCCCCAAAUCCUAAUCUAAAUUAAUUCGCUUGAUCUUAAAUCCAAACUCGAAUUCGCUAAAUCAAUCUGACAGUGACCAAGAUCAACCACUAUUGAUAGGGGAAGGACACUGGAGUUCCCUUCAACGUUUCUAAUGUUACAUUACCUUUGUGUCAACAGCAGGCUUACUCUUCUGUAAAUACUUUUUUUCUUUUUUUCUAAUAUGUAAGCAGUAGCAAGCUCACUCGAUCAUGUUCCAUUUUUGAAACUUUGGCUAUGAUUUCAUACAUCAUAUGUAGCCAUUUCGAAAUAACAUACCUGAUGGCAUUCUUGGGCCACAUAAUCAUGAGAGAAUUGGAUGAGCCUUAAGUCAACAUCGAUAGUCUAAAGCACAUUUUCGUUCUUUGCAGAGGUGCUGCCCUCAAAUGGCUCUCACGAUCAAAGCAAAUGGUGAUCUGAAUCAAUGAGUUUCUGUAAGUAACAGGGUUAUUAUUUAACAGAUGUGUGCUCAUCGUUCUAAGAUAUACGCCACAGGCUAUGAAAGUACAAUUCGUAUGCUUCUUUGGUGCACAAAGAAGUCAAUUUGGGCAGUCAUGUUAGUGGCACUCAAUGCGCUCGUUUUCUUCAAUAGUUUUAUUAUGAAAAUGAGGGAAAUGGCAACAGCCUUGAGUUCUUUUCCUUAAAAGAAAAGGUUACUCCCCUCCUUCAUUUUUAUAAGUGACGUGGGAUUGUUCAAUCAAAUUCCUAACAUAAAUGUGCACAAUCAGUGAUUUCGAAUAUCCUUAUGUAAAAGAACAUAAGAAUAUCUUGGUUAUCACUUGGCAUUAACCUUUAUCUAGCUAGGAUUAUUGAUAAAUAAAUAUUUUGAUUCUAUCACAGACUCAAUUGUAUUUUGUUGGACCAUCCGAGGACUGUAUAACAUGUAUCAUCUUGAAUUUCGAUUGUCAUCUCAACCAAAGAUGGCCGGCAGGGAGCAUCAAGAAACACUGUGAAACUUCCCAAGCAACACAAGAAUAACUAUUUCCAAUAUUGCUGCAAGAUGCACAAGAUGGAGAUAGGCCUAGCUACAAGAUGCAUGUGAUUGCGCUGAAGGUUGCAUAAUGAGUUGUCGUCGCUACUAGGAGACACUCAUGUUUUUUUUUUUUGUGUGUGUGGGCAUGAUAUGGUAUUAGAGGGCUGCUUGAUAGUAGCUCUCAACAAAUGUGUUUAAUCUUGUGCCUUUUUGGGAUACCAAAUGUGAGAAUUUUGGGGACUAAAUGAUUACAAAUUUACUGUCAAUUUCCUCAAUGUGUUAACAGCUAUCCCUGCAUAAGGUUGGCAGAUGCUUGUCCAUCUUGAGAUGAGGGGGGAAAGUGCAUUGCAGUAGUGGAAGAGCCAAAGUAAUGCAAGCUUC
rnacentral:lncRNA from 1 species